CGCAAUGGACGAAAGUCUGACGGAGCAACGCCGCGUGAGUGAUGAAGGCUUUCGGGUCGUAAAACUCUGUUGUUAGGGAAGAACAAGUACGAGAGUAACUGCUCGUACCUUGACGGUACCUAACCAGAAAGCCACGGCUAACUACGUGCCAGCAG
rnacentral:rRNA from 1 species